rnacentral:lncRNA from 1 species
CGAAACAGCACGGCAGGUCUGAGUUGGCGCCUGGAAGGACACAGACUGCUUCAUGUCGCUGCAUUCCACAGCUCCGAGGCUGGCAGGUGAGUGCGUGCACUCCUCUCUCUCAUUUUAUUUAAUGUGCAUUUUUGAAGCAUGUGGAAAUAUCCUGCGUCAUCAACCACUUUGGGGAAAGUGUGCGUGUGUGUGUGUGUGUGUGCGCGCGCGCGCGCGCGCCAAGAGGAGCGGCAGCACAAACAGUCCCCGCCUCGCACAAUGCGAAGCAGCUGCUCCGCACACGCGCACGCGCCCCCGUCUCUCUCUCUCUUUCUGACUGAAGGAACUCGCCGCCGGGGCCUAGCGAGCUAAAGGAAAACGUUACGCAUGCGCGCUGUGAGGUUUCAUGGGAAAUGUAGUCCUUCCCCCCCCCCACACACAGACCGUUCCUUCUCUCCCCCCGCCAGCCCCGCGUGGCUUCUCUUCGCUGGCUGACAGAACUUACCUAUCUCUGCUUUUCGUUUUUUUUAACUAGGCUUAAGUUUGGCGAGGAAGUUCGUUUCCCACAAGAACAAGUCGGAUAAAACGUUAUAACUAGCGCAGGCGCUGUUGAGUAAUAAUCUAUAACGGCUGAAGGGAAGCUUGCAUCGCGAGGGGGAAUUAGCUCAAAUGGUAGAGCGCUCGCUUAGCAUGCGAGAGGUAGCGGGAUCGAUGCCCGCAUUCUCCAGUUACAUUUUUGCCUGCCUCGUACUCAGUUAUUGUUGCAGCCCCUCUAACAAUCCUCUAUCAAUGGUCAAGCCUACAGUUGUAGGAAAGAGCCUUCUAUUGAGAGAUUGAGGGGACUGCUAUUGUUCAUGCUAGUCCUGUUCUUGUUGUAUGUUACAGCUGGUUAUGAUUUUCCCUUCUUGUGGAAAAUUCAGAGCAAAAACAAACAAAAACAUGCUCUGCAAGCGAAAAGAAGGCAGUCUGCUUCCUUGGAAAUAAAAUAAAUCUAGACCUCUUGACUAGUUCUAUUAAUCCCAGUGCAUAUAAUAUUAUUUCAUCAGACUUCAGCCUCAUAGUUUACAAAUACAGAACUGGCGCCACUGUGCUUCAAAUGUAUGCUGUUUAAUAAAUCCAGUUAGCAAGCAUUGCACGUUAUGCUCAGUUGCAGCAAAUUAUUAAAUCUUAAAUUCAAUUCUAAGAUCAUCAGUCAAUUAUAACACCCAGCAUUUAAAUAUAAAAAUGAAUACCUCCGUGACAUAUGUAAUCCUUCACCUGCCAAAAUAUAUAGUCCGAAGCUCAUUAUUUCUUCCUCAUAUGAUUAUUUCGAAUUAGCCAAUCACGACGCUUUGGUCAUGAGCUAUCCAGAAGACACCUCAAACAUCACGCUGGUCCGAGGUAUCUUGUGCGCCCUCUGCUGGACAAUUCGGCAACGUUUCUCUUGACAUGGUGUGCGUAGGGUAGGGGGCUGAGCCCUCCCCAAUGUUGAGGGGGCUGCCAUCCCCCGAAGUUUGCCGCCACCGGGCAGCGCUCGUGUGCUGGUGGGGGCAGGACCUACAGAUCAAAGAUUUUAUCCAUCCGAUGUAGAACUUUUACUGUGGCUAGAUUCAGGUAGGUAGCCGUGUUGGUCUGACGCAGUCGAAAUAAAUUUUAAAAAUUAAAAAUUGUCCAGUAGCACCUUAUAGACCAACAAAGUUUGUUCUGGGUAUAAGCUUUUGUGUGCAUGCACACUUCUUCAGAUAGU